rnacentral:misc_RNA from 1 species
CUGCCCUCAAGCUCAGCUUGUGUGUUGGGUCCUCGUCCUCCCAUCCCGGGGGGACGGGCCCGAAAGGCAGCGGCGGCACCGCGUCCGGUCCUCGAGCGUAUGGGGCUUUGUCACCCGCUCUGUAGGAACGGCCGGCGCCAGCCGACGCAAAUCACCUUUUUUCUCA